AUGCACCCUGCCAGGCACCCUUCUCCAUUCCUAGGCUACCGAGCCAGCUCUCCUGCCCCAGAAGUGCAGGACAGAACAGGGCAACGGCACCUUAAAAGAGAGGCCACUCCCAGCUCCAUCCCUCCUCCAGCGUUAACCAGCACCGGAAUGGACAAGCCUAGGUCACCACAGUACCUCCCAUUCAACUUCUUCCCGCCUCCCUCCAAGGCGGACCCGCCCACCCCGCAACGUCCCUCUGGCUGCGCUACAUCCUGGGACCAACCUCCAUGCCAGAGAUGCUACCAGAGCGCGCACAGGACCCGACACUGGCCCAACUUUGGAGAAGACCGCCAGAGAGGGAGACACACACAGGCGCAGAAGAAACACGGAAGCGCCCUUCCCAGAGUCCCUGUUUGUGACGUCGCCGCGGACGAGACUACAUUUCCCACAAUUCUCUGCGAGCGAGUUUCACAAAGCCGUGGUUCUCUCUCUCUCUCUCAAGACCCCAUCACUGAAGAAUGACCUGCUGGAACAUGUCAUCAAACUGUAAAACAAGUGAAGCUAUGAAAACAUAUAGGAAUAAUCCUACCGGAUAGAGUAACUUCAAACAAAAACGAAUCAGAAGCAAUGAAGAGCGCCACUCUGUGUAAGUAAACACAGACACAAGUAAUGUAAAUGUUUCCACACAAAAUCAGGUUUUCAGUUCUACCUAGAUAACAUUAAAAGACAUGGGAAAUCAAAUGGUUCAAAGAAAAUAAAAACAGGGCAUUCCCAUAUUGCAGUCUUACACCUAGACAGGUCGUACAAACAAACCAACCAUGUGCAAAGGAUGCUUCAAGAUAAAUAUCCAAAACAUUAACUGGGUUUAAAAAAAAAUAGCUACAGAACAUUAUGCACAACCACAAAAAGAAUAUAUUCUGCUCAGUGGCAUAAGAUAUCUUCUCUAAAAUGCACCACAUCACAGGCCAAGAGCCAAACCAUAAGGAAAGGAAAGGAAAGGAAAGGAAAGGAAAGGAAAGGAAAGGAAAGGAAAGGAAAGGAAAGGAAAGGAAAGGAAAGGAAAGGAAAAGAAAAAAGGAAAGAAAAAGAAACAAAUUUUGUAUAUCCUAUCAGAACACAGUGUACUGGAACUAAAAAUGAAUAAAAAGACUAACCUAAGAAAAUACACAAUUAAUUGAUGAAAUGAUAUAGGACUGAAGGAUUAGGGAGAGAAUCACUCCUAAGUGGAAGAAUUCUAUUGAAUCCUUAGUUAAAAUAGCAGAGAUCUCAAAUUUAAAAACAAAUAAAGCCGGGCGUGGUGGCGCUCGCCUUUAAUCCCAGCACUUGAGAGGCAGAGGCAGGUGGAUUUCUGACUUUGAGGCCAGCCUGGUCUCAGACUGAGUUCCAGGACAGCCAGGACUACACAGAGAACACUGUCUUGAAAAAAACAAAAACCAAAACAAAACAAAACCAAAUAAAAACAAAAACAGACAAAAAAACAGACCCACAACACCAAGGAGAUGGAAACAGUCAUCAAGAGAUUCAUCACAAAGUAAUGCCCUGAGCCAGAUUGACUGU
rnacentral:lncRNA from 1 species